rnacentral:rRNA from 1 species
GGACUACCCGGGUUUCUAAUCCUGUUUGCUACCCACGCUUUCGUGUCUCAGCGUCAGAAGCGGUCCAGAAAGCUGUCUACACCACAGGUGUUCCUCCUGAUAUCUACGCAUUUCACCGCUACACCAGGAAUUCCGCUUUCCUCUCCCACCCUCUAGCACUCCAGUUUCCGCCGCACCCUCCCAGUUAAGCCGGGAGAUUUCACGACAGACUUAGAGAACAGCCUACACACUCUUUACGCCCAGUAAUUCCGAACAACGCUUGCUGCCUACGUAUUACCGCGGCUGCUGGCAC